ensembl:lncRNA
AACAUACUGGGCUGGAUGCUGAGGACUGGUACCAUAGCUGCGCGCCCAGCAUCAUCGGCAUCAUCAUAAUCAAUAUAAUCAAUGCUGCUUUGGAGAGUUUGCCACCUGUUGUAAACGUUUCAGUGUCAGCGCGCGUCCAGAAAGACCAGAGCGGCUUGUUUUGAGAAGAAAUCCAUUGUUUGGUGAGCUUGAGAGGCACAUUUAGACAGCAGAGGAGACAUUGUGGAUUACAGACACGCUGCGUGUUUCGUGUGUUCCAUGUGCAGUUGCACGAGGAUGAGGAUGAUGAUGAUGACGGAGGGAUUCAUGAGAUGUGUUUCUGCAGUCAUGACCUCCAGACCACCAGAGAACCAGCACUCGGGCCUAAAACCUCUUUCUGAGGGUUGGUUUCUCUCUUUGGUUAUCUAGCUGUAUGAGUUUUAACACUUUUCAUAAAGCUAGAUAACCGAAAGUAGAAAUAAUUCUCAAAAUCUGUUGAAAACGAGUAGUCUGAAAGCAAGAGAGCGUCCACUUGUACCUCAGAGUCUUAUUUCCAUCCACAAUAUGGCACAAUAAAGUAACAACAACAAGAGCACAGCCAUCAGAGAGCAUAAGAGAUGCUUGGAGGAACAUGGCAGUCUCCAUUUGCUACAUCUUCCCUUCUCCGCCUACCCAGAAAGCCCCAGUGCCAUCUGUACCCCUGUGGGGUGCGGGAGAAUCCGUGCCAGUGCCAGCGGUGACAAACCCUCGUCAGCGUCACAGGGAGGAAGGGAGGCCAUCUUGACGGAGAUCUUACACGAGAAGCUAAGAUGGCUGGGCUGGCACAUGAGCAUAUUGAAGACGGAUAACGAGGGGAGGGAGGAUAAAAAGAAGAAAAUAAGGAAACUAGGGCUGCUAAUGAGUGGCGCUAAGCUAAGAUCCUCUUGACACAGAUGCAGUGAAUGGGAGCGUGUUUAAAGAGGCAGACAGCAUCCCAACAUUCUCGUGGCUGAUGAAUCCUGUUGCAUUCGGCGGGAUUUGUUUCGAUUUUUACAUGAUUGAGAGUUUUCGAAUUCGGGGCUACAUAAAUGCAUGAAUUCAGUUCAGUUCAGUUUAUUUGUGUAGUGCUUUUCACAAUACAUAUUGUUUCAAAGCAGCUUUAUGGAAAAUGUUUGUUUCAACGUUACAUUUAGGAAGUGUUCAUGCUAUCAGCCAGAGAAGAGUGUAUCAUAUAUAGUAAUGUACAACUAUAUUGUAAUACAUGUUAUGUGGUUAGUCAACGUAACAUAUAUUUCGAUAAGCAGACACAAUAAAUGUGCACUGAAUUACAAUAUUAGGAUAAUAUUACAAUAUAAAGUCAAUAUGGUGUGUUGUUUCAAAGUUGGCGUAAUUUGAAGCCUUUUGAGGUUGUUGGUUAAUUGUUUAAAGAAUGAAGAAACGAUUGAAUUUGUGAAUGCAUGAAUGAAUUAAUAUGUGAGUGCAUAAAUAUAUAAACCUUUGAGAACUGCAGCUGAUGUGAAUUUAGAUAAUACAUAUCACAUUUUGUCAACUGCAUGCAGUUUAGAAUAAGUUGGAACAUUUUCUUAUUCAAAACGCAUAAGAAAUGCUCUAAAAAAUGAAUCUAUCACACAAAAGAUGAUGAAAAAUUAUAUAUUAUAAAAUCAUAUUUUAUAUUUAUAUGAACAUUAGUGAAUGAUAUGUGACAUAAGUGAGAUGUAUAUAUACUUACAGUUUAUAUACAGUUACAAAAAAAAUUGUAUACAUAUACACAUAGUUUUCCUAAUAUAUUAAUACGAAUUUUAAACUAAAAUUUUGAUAAAAAGCUUAAAUGAUUAAAUUAUUAUAUACAUACUUUUCCUUAUAUAUUCAUAAGAACAUCAGUGAAUAUGUAAAAUAUCAUUUUUAGAUAUAUACAUAAAAAUACUUAUAAUAGUCUGAUAAUUCUAAAAAUGACAAAAAUAUUCAUAAUUUUUCUUAAAUGUUCAUAUGAAAAAAGCUUUUUGGCUAAUUGUGGAAGUCACAGUUUCUUGAUCUUGCUCUUUGGCCUUCACACAGACACAAUGCAAUUUUCCAAACAGCAUGGGUCACCCCUCUGCCUCCCCCAGUGUCAGGCCCUGGCAGAAACGGCCCGUGAUGCCCCUGGCGAUGGGGUCCGGGGAGAGGGUGAAGCUGGUAUGAGGGCCGGCAGCUGCAGCAUGCGUGCCUUUAAUGAACAGAACGUGGUGUCAGCCAUUAAUAUUCUGCCCAGCUCUCGGCUGGUCCCUUGCUCUCAAUGGAGGCCCCCUCCUUUAUAAAGAGCUCCGCUUUCCCACCAUUGUCAGGGCCGCUGCUCCUGCGGCACGACUGGAGAGGGGGCAGGGUGGGAAACACCGAUGCAGACCAGACACCCGCAGAUGCCAAAGACACGAGACGGUUAUGCAGAUCGCUGAGCCUUUGUGUGUGUGUUUUUGUGUACAGGGGUGCGUAUGUUUACAGACGGAGGGUGUUCGCCACCUGAUCAUCUUAAUUAGUUUGCAUGUAGUUAAUACAGGUCUCAGUCUGAGUGCGAUGCAGAUGUAAAUGGGCCGAGUGCAUUACAGAAUUGAAGGUUAUUUUGUUCCUAUUAUUUCUUGAGAACAAAUUUACAAAUUUAGCGGUUUCAUUUUUUUGUUUUUCAUAUAUAUAUAUUGAUAUCAACACACACACACUGCUGUCCGAAAGUUUGUUAUCAGUACAAUUUUUUUGACAUUUUUAAAAGACAUUUAUAAUGUUACUAAAGUUGAACAUUUUUAAACUGCGAUAUUAAAAAGAAAUGUUUCUUGAUUUUUUUUUCUUGUUAUAAUCAUUUCUGAAGGUCCAUGUGACACUGAAGACUUACAAAAUUUAGCUUUGCCAUAACAGAAAUAAAUUACAUUCUAAAAAAAAGAAGAAAAAAAGAAAUAGAAAACAGAAUAAAAUAGAAACCAGACAACAGUUAAAUUUAAAUAAAUAUUUUAUAAUAAUACUGGUUUUGUUGUAUUUUUGAUAAAAUAAAUGCAUCUUGGUGAGCAUAAUAGACAUAUAUUAAAAACAUUUUUUUUAAAUCUUAUAGACAAAAAAAAAUGUUUAAACUGUAUAAUAUAAUAUAAUAU